UACAGAGGGUGCAAGCGUUGUUCGGAAUUACUGGGCGUAAAGGGCGUGUAGGCGGCUUAACAAGUCAGAUGUGAAAUCCCGGGGCUUAACUUCGGAAGUGCAUUUGAAACUGUUAGGCUAGAGUGAGGUAGAGGUUGGUGGAAUUCCCAGUGUAGAGGUGAAAUUCGUAGAUAUUGGGAGGAACACCGGUGGCGAAGGCGGCCAACUGGGCCUUAACUGACGCUGAGGCGCGAAAGCGUGGGGAGCAAACAGG
rnacentral:rRNA from 1 species